rnacentral:rRNA from 1 species
CAGGCCUAACACAUGCAAGUCGAGCGGAGAUGAGGUGCUUGCACCUUAUCUUAGCGGCGGACGGGUGAGUAAUGCUUAGGAAUCUGCCUAUUAGUGGGGGACAACAUUUCGAAAGGAAUGCUAAUACCGCAUACGCCCUACGGGGGAAAGCAGGGGAUCUUCGGACCUUGCGCUAAUAGAUGAGCCUAAGUCGGAUUAGCUAGUUGGUGGGGUAAAGGCCUACCAAGGCGACGAUCUGUAGCGGGUCUGAGAGGAUGAUCCGCCACACUGGGACUGAGACACGGCCCAGACUCCUACGGGAGGCAGCAGUGGGGAAUAUUGGACAAUGGGGGGAACCCUGAUCCAGCCAUGCCGCGUGUGUGAAGAAGGCCUUUUGGUUGUAAAGCACUUUAAGCGAGGAGGAGAGAGCUCUAGAUUAAUACUCUAGAUGCUUGGACGUUACUC